rnacentral:rRNA from 1 species
UACGUAGGGACCCAGCGUUGUCCGGAAUCAUUGGGCGUAAAGAGCGUGUAGGCGGUUUGUUAAGUCUUGCGUGAAAUCUCGGGGCUCAACCCCGAGCGGUCGUGAGAAACUGGCAGGCUAGAGUGCGGGAGAGGAGAGUGGAAUUCCUGGUGUAGCGGUGAAAUGCGCAGAUAUCAGGAAGAACACCCGUGGCGAAGGCGGCUCUCUGGGCCGUACCUGACGCUGAGGAGCGAAAGCGUGGGGAGCGAACAGG